UUUUUUUUUUUUUUUUUGGAGAAAACGUUCAAAGAGAUGCAUACAAAAUGAACUUUCAUUUUAGAAAUGGGAUUUGACUAUUUAUAAUGCAUUUUCCUGUGAAUGGAAGGAAGGGAGAAAGACGUUUAUUAAAAUUGGGUUGGAAAGCAAUUAUAGUCAUUAGAGCCCCGAUCCUGUGAAACACAAAACGGGAAUAUCACUUGCACCAUAAUUUUUAUUUUCGGUGUGCUAAAUACUUUAAAACGAAAGUUUCUUUUUUUUUUUCAUGUAAACACCAUUGUAGUAUUAAAAUCAUCUUCUCUCGGAGAGCUGAAAUGAAUGGCUGUUGCUGUCUUUCCUUUUCUCCCCCAACAGUGUAUUCACAGAGAUUUGGCAGCCAGGAAUAUCCUCCUCACUCACGGGCGGAUCACAAAGAUUUGCGAUUUCGGGCUAGCCAGAGACAUCAGGAAUGAUUCGAAUUACGUGGUCAAAGGAAAUGUGAGUACCUUUCUCCAUCUCAUGAGUCUACCCAGGGUGCUUUGGUAUCCAGUCUUGAUUCUAAAUUGUUUUCUAUGAUCAUUACAACUCCUACCUUGUAAUGUCACAUGUUAGUACCACUAAGGCUUGUUAAUAGAAUUUUUAGCUAUAAUUGUAUAAUUGGGGGUGUGCGAAAUAAACAAAAAUAGCCUUAAUUUUUCACGAUAGGCUGAAACUAGCAAUCCAUUUGAUUUUGCUCAACUAUAACAAAUGUAGACCUGAAGGUCACGGUAGGCUUUCUCCCCGCUUCGUUUGAAAUACUAUGUGGAAAUGACUACAGUCUAAGAUGGUGUUAGAGUUAGCUGUAUGCAAUACUAGGAUGCUUGGGUCUCUUAAUCAAUAUAGGGCUAUUAAGUAGAUUCAUAAGUAAUGGUUGGUUUGUGGGACACAGUGAAGUUUUCAAAGUGCCAGCCUUCUGUAACCUCAGAACAAACCUUAGAACAUGUUGUCUUCCAAUGUUUAUAGUGGAAGAAACUAAGGUCCAGUAUAGUUCAGUGAUUUAUAUCUGAGAUAGCUAGUCAGCAGGGUCCACUGGGUAGGGAAGGCCAUAACCUCCUAGAUAUAUAUUCUUAGGUGCGUUUUUCCCCUCAGCCCAUUUGAACAGUCCAUAUUUAUUCCUGGAGGUCAAUUUUUGUGUCUGUCGUGAUAACGCAGUUCCUUCUCGUUCAUCACCGUGGCGGCAGCAUCUCUGUUGGUAGGCUGUGCAUGACUUGGUUUUGUAAGGAAGGGUAUUGCUGGCUUUAUAUCCUGGCUCAGUCAUACAGUUCUGAAGAGACUGUCAAGGUCAGAUUUUUUUUUUCCAGGAGGUUUGAUGAAAUCAACUUCCUGGCUUAAUAUUCGAAGGAAGAUGGGAAAUGCUUCAGUAUUCCAGGAUAAAGGAGCAAAAUAAGGAAAUGGGGUGUCUGGGCCCAGGCUGGCCGAGUUCCAGCCUGGUCCCAUUUAACGGGGGUGGGACCGAGUCAGUACUUGUAGGAGUUACUACAUGGCAGAGUUCUCAGAACAGGGCCAGGCCCAUUCUCCUGCUUUGUGUUUUGAAAUCCAAACCAUCAGGACAGAGGUUGUGCCCAGAACCUUCCUAGCUCAGUCUGUAGUUGACAAGUCUAGCCGUUGAACUGGCCAAUUAUUUGAGAAAGUUUCAAACAAGGGAAAUGUAUGUGACGCGGCGCUGCAUGGAAUUUUAAGUGUAGUCAUUGUAAAGUCCCUUUGUUCUCUGAAAGAUCUUUCAGAGUUGUGAAUUCUUAAUUAUUUUCCACGCUGGGCUCUGAGUCUACGGGCCUAUGGGCCCCUUGUCAGAAUACCAUUUCAGAUGAAUGGAAUACUUAUAUUUAGCCAAGAAAAGCAGACUCUGUCGAAUGACCGUUGUAUCGAAUUCUGUAAAGCAAAUUUAGUGGUAGACGAUGGGCGCGCUUCUUUAUUACACGGAGCAACAUAUCAUAAAGGCUGUUGUGAUUUUCAAAGGGACUGCGAAUGGAAGUUUUCUUUUGUAAUUCCUGUAAAUACUGCGAUGGGACGUGAAGUGUCUGCUGUGAAGGACAAGCCACAGAGCCUCUUUUACUGCUUUGUCUAGUUUUAGACAACCCUAGAUUUCACUUAGAAGUUAAUUUUUAGAUACCCAGGCCCCUUGAAUUCAAGACACUAAUAGAUCCUCACUUAACACUCCUGUGGAGAACGCAGCAUAAAGUCUGGGGAUAGAUAGUAGAUGGUUUUUAUAGUUUGAGAAUCAUCUCCUCCCUCAACCCUCCACCCCCACCCCCACCCCCCACGCUAAAACAACUUCAACCCUAGAAGGGCUCUCUUCCUACUGUUCAGUCGUAAACGGAUUUAAAGGAUUGAUUCUGCCUCAUGUGACAGAUUAAUAUCCAGAAAUCCUGAUAGACUGUAAGAGGCAAGGUCAGAGUAAGCUUGGCCUGACCGAGUGGAAGGAACUGGAAUGUCUCCUGACAUAAGCACUAACUGUGCGCGCUCGCGCGCGUGCACACGCGCGCGCACACACACACACACCACAGAGAUCAGACACAGCUCAUCAGUGCCUGCUAGUCUGGGUAAAUCUUAAUGAGCUGGACGUUGGUAGGCAUUUUUUUAUCCUGCAUUGCCUCAGUUGUCCCAUGAAAUAACAACUCCUGGUAUUUGAAGUUAUUUUUGUUUUGCAAAAGAUGAUUCUGGGCCUGGCUUAUCCGUGUUUAGGUAACUUCUCUAGUAGGUGCGUGAGGGGUGCACUUGUGUCAGAGGUCCAAGAGUGAAUGGGAAGGGAUUUGGGGCCAGGCAGAGAAUUCUGAAACAACACUUAGCACUGAACCCUUCUGCCUCUCUGUUUUGUCAUUCCUACAUGUAGCCCUCCUCAUUCUGGUCAAAGAUGACCGGACCAACAGCCAGCCGUCAUGGUAUAAGGCAGAUGUGUGAAGGGAUGCCACUAGAAAGACUAUAUAUAUAUGGUGUAUAAAACCACAGUAUUUUAAGUGUUUUUUUUUCCUCAUGCCACUGCAUAAAAUUUAGAUCUUAGCAGCUAAAACUAAGUGGUCUGGCUAUAGCUUGCUGCAAAGCAGUCUGGGAAAUGUAGUUAUAGUUGGGAGAGGCCAUAUAUGUUGUUG
rnacentral:lncRNA from 1 species